GGCCUGAUGGUCUAGUAGUAUGAUUCCUUGUUAGGGCUUAACAGCAAUCUCGAGGAGGUCCCGGGUUCAAUUCCCGGUCAGGCCC
rnacentral:tRNA from 1 species